UAGUGGCGCACGGGUGAGUAACACGUGAGUACCUGCCCCCAAGAGUGGGAUAGCCCCGGGAAACUGGGAUUAAUACCGCAUAAAGCAAUAAAGCAGCAUGCGCUUGGGGAUGGGCUCGCGUCCUAUUAGUUAGUUGGUGAGGUAACGGCUCACCAAGGCGAUGACGGGUAGCCGGUCUGAGAGGAUGUCCGGCCACACUGGAACUGAGACACGGUCCAGACACCUACGGGUGGCAGCAGUCGAGAAUCAUUCACAAUGGGGGAAACCCUGAUGGUGCGACGCCGCGUGGGGGAAGAAGGUCUUCGGAUUGUAAACCCCUGUCAUGUGGGACAUUAAAAGAUAGUACCACAAGAGGAAGAGACGGCUAACUCUGUGCCAGCAGCCGCGGUAAUACAGAGGUCUCAAGCGUUGUUCGGAAUCACUGGGCGUAAAGCGUGCGUAGGCGGUUUCGUAAGUCGUGUGUGAAAGGCGGGGGCUCCACCCCCGGACUG
rnacentral:rRNA from 1 species